rnacentral:rRNA from 1 species
GAUCCUGGCUCAGGACGAACGCUGACGGCGCACCUAACACAUGCAAGUCGAACGAGCGAGAGAGAGCUUGCUUUCUCGAGCGAGUGGCGAACGGGUGAGUAACGCGUGAGGAAACUGCCUCAAAGAGGGGGACAACAGUUGGAAACGACUGCUAAUACCGCAUAAGCCCACGGGUCGGCAUCGACCAGAGGGAAAAGGAGCAAUCCGCUUUGAGAUGGCCUCGCGUCCGAUUAGCUAGUUGG